rnacentral:rRNA from 1 species
GUGCAGCAGGCGCGAAACCUCCGCAAUGCGCGAAAGCGUGACGGGUUCACCCCGAGUACUCUUGCUUUUUGCAGGAGUUUUUGCCAAGUGUAAACAGCUUGGAGAAUAAGAGCUGGGUAAGACCGGUGCCAGCCGCCGCGGUAACACCGGCAGCUCAAGUGGUCGCCACGUUUAUUGGACCUAAAGCGUUCGUAGCCGGAUAUGUAAGUCUCCAGGUAAAUCGUGCGUCUAAUCGUACGGCUUCUGGAGAUACUGCAUGUCGUGAGGCCGGGAGAGGUGGGAGGUACGCCAGGGGUAGCGGUAAAAUGCUAUAAUCCUUGGGGGACCACCGGUGGCGAAGGCGUCCCACUGGAACGGCCCUGACGGUGAGGAACGAAACCUAGGGGAGCGAGCCGGAUUAGAUACCCGGGUAGUCC